CCUACGUGAGGCAGCAGUGAGGAAUAUUGGUCAAUGGGCGGGAGCCUGAACCAGCCAAGUCGCGUGAGGGAUGACGGCCCUAUGGGUUGUAAACCUCUUUUGCCGGGGAGCAAAGUGCCGCACGUGUGCGGUUUGGAGAGUACCCGGAGAAAAAGCAUCGGCUAACUCCGUGCCAGCAGCCGCGGUAAUACGGAGGAGGCGAGCGUUAUCCGGAUGUAUUGGGUGGCAAGGGCGUGUAGGAGGGAAUGCAAGUCAGAUGUGAAAACUCAGGGCUCAACCCUGAGCCUGCAUUUGAAACUGUGUUUCUUGAGUGCUGGAGAGGCAAUCGGAAUUCCGUGUGGAGCGGUGAAAUGCGUAGAUAUACGGAGGAACACCAGUGGCGAAGGCGGAUUGCGGGACAGUAACCGACGCUGAGGCGCGAAAGCGUGGGGAGCAAACAGGAUUAGAUACCCUGGUAGUC
rnacentral:rRNA from 1 species